ACUGCUUGUCGCCUGGGCAACCGGAGAGGACGAAGCAGGACCUAGGUGGCGGCGGUGGUACCGGCUGCAAUGGUGUCCAAUCCCGUGCAUGGCUUGCCCUUUCUUCCGGGCACGUCCUUUAAGGACUCUACGAAAACAGCCUUCCACAGAAGUCAGACGCUGAGCUACAGGAACGGCUAUGCAAUUGUUCGACGUCCAACAGUUGGGAUAGGCGGAGACCGGCUCCAGUUCAACCAGCUGUCCCAGGCUGAGCUGGAUGAGUUGGCCAGUAAGGCACCAGUCUUAACUUAUGGCCAACCUAAACAAGCCCCACCUGCGGAUUUUAUUCCUGCGCAUGUGGCCUUUGACAAAAAGGUACUGAAAUUUGAUGCCUAUUUCCAAGAAGAUGUUCCUAUGUCAACUGAGGAACAGUAUAGGAUCCGUCAGGUGAACAUUUACUAUUAUCUAGAAGAUGACAGCAUGUCUGUCAUAGAGCCUGUUGUAGAAAAUUCUGGAAUCCUUCAAGGCAAGUUAAUAAAACGCCAGCGGCUAGCCAAGAAUGACCGGGGUGACCAUUACCAUUGGAAAGACCUAAAUCGAGGAAUAAACAUCACAAUUUAUGGCAAAACUUUCCGCGUUGUUGACUGUGACCAAUUCACACAGGUAUUUUUAGAAAGCCAAGGAAUUGAGUUAAAUCCACCAGAGAAGAUGGCUCUUGAUCCUUACACUGAACUCCGAAAACAGCCUCUUCGUAAGUAUGUCACCCCAUCAGACUUUGAUCAACUCAAGCAAUUUCUCACCUUUGACAAACAGGUAAGUGACAUAGGAACCACAAUAGGCUUACUUAUUUCCAAAUGUGACCUACAUUUAUUGGCAAAAGGUUUGGGUAGCUGUAUUGGUAACUAUUUUGAAACAUUACAGCUAUAAUUGAACUGUUUGGACACAGUACUGUCUUUCUGCUUUCAUCAAGGGUUACAGGUACAGGAAUGCCUACAUUUCAUAUGGAGAUCCAAAGAAGAUCGUGGAGUUGCGGAGUUGUUUUGUGAACCUCACCAAACAUUUAAAUCUCAAAGCAAUUCCUGAGCUACAUCUGCUUCCCACCUUACGUUUCCAAUUGACAAUUUCUUUCCCUUAAAAUGAGCUAAUUUCAUAGACUCCUUUGUGAAACCAUAAAUCGAUUAUUAGGAAAUUUCACAAAUAUGCAUACAUGUAGGUUGUAAUGUUAAAAUGUUUAAUUUCACAGAAGCCCCACUACAGAUGCUUCCUUGUUAAAUGUUAUAUUAAUAUUGGAGUCCAGAAUGUUCUGAGCAUUUUCCAACUCUGUUCCAACCUUCCUAAUCCUCUCCCUUGUGAGCUGAUGUGUAUAAGCAGAUUUAAAUCCUUCCCUUUCUGUACUAAAGGGAGAAAGAAAAGGAAGAGAUCACCCUCAGUGCUUCUUUGCUGCUCCUUUUCUUUAGACAUUUAACCCCUUUUAGUUCAGAAAAUGUAAACUAGCACUAGCAUGGUCUUUUAAGGAUUUUGUUCAUAUCAGUCAUAUAUCUGUUAUUAUUUUGUAUUUAAAGAUUGUGUUUAUUCCCACGAUUUGAAGAAGCCUAGCCAAAAAAAAAAAAAAAAAGAUUGUGUUUAUAUUAUUGCUAGAAGAUAUGUGUUGAUGGGACCAAAAAAAGACUGGUUAAUAAAUAAAAAUUUUUUCUACACUAAUUAUAUAUAAACCAUAUUCACAUGUACCUUUAUUAAUAUAUAUAUACCACUAUGUAAAGAACUUCAUUGCUCUUUUAAUUUAGCUUCUCUUUCACUGACUAAUAUUUUGGAUCAAAGUGAGCUCUUCUUUUUUGGCACAAACUUAUAAUCCUAUUAUUUAAUUCUUUCCAGCUGCUGACAUAUAGUACAUAAUUUCAGAUGUUUUAGUAUGUUUGAUGAAUAUUUCUUUUUUUUUCAAUUUACCCCAUCUGAAAUUACUUCAUAGUCUUUCCAGCUAGUCUUUCCAUCGUUGAUACAUAAUUGCCAAAGUAGCCAAGUUGAACUCCCUACUUUUAGGAUUCUUGAGUCACUACUUUGGAUUCUUCAAAGGUCCUUCGAUUCUAUGCAAUCUGGGAUGAUACAGACAGCAUGUAUGGUGAAUGUCGGACCUACAUCAUUCAUUACUAUCUUAUGGAUGAUACGGUGGAAAUUCGAGAGGUCCACGAACGGAAUGAUGGGAGAGAUCCUUUCCCACUCCUAAUGAACCGCCAGCGUGUGCCCAAAGUUUUGGUGGAAAAUGCAAAGAACUUCCCUCAGUGUGUGCUAGAAAUCUCUGACCAAGAAGUGUUGGAAUGGUAUACUGCUAAAGACUUCAUUGUUGGGAAGUCACUCACUAUCCUUGGGAGAACUUUCUUCAUUUAUGAUUGUGAUCCAUUUACUCGACGGUAUUACAAAGAGAAGUUUGGAAUCACUGAUUUACCACGUAUUGAUGUGAGCAAGCGGGAACCACCUCCAGUAAAACAGGAGUUGCCUCCUUAUAACGGUUUUGGACUAGUGGAAGAUUCUGCUCAGAAUUGUUUUGCUCUCAUUCCAAAAGCUCCAAAAAAAGACGUUAUUAAAAUGCUGGUGAAUGAUAACAAGGUGCUUCGUUAUUUGGCUGUACUGGAAUCCCCCAUCCCAGAAGACAAAGACCGCAGAUUUGUCUUCUCUUACUUUCUAGCUACCGACAUGAUCAGUAUCUUUGAGCCUCCUGUUCGCAAUUCUGGUAUCAUUGGGGGCAAGUACCUUGGCAGGACUAAAGUUGUUAAACCAUACUCUACAGUGGACAACCCUGUCUACUAUGGCCCCAGUGACUUCUUCAUUGGUGCUGUGAUUGAAGUGUUUGGUCACCGGUUCAUCAUCCUUGAUACAGACGAGUAUGUUUUGAAAUACAUGGAGAGCAACGCUGCCCAGUAUUCACCAGAAGCACUCGCGUCAAUUCAGAACCAUGUCCGAAAGCGAGAAGCGCCUGCUCCAGAAGCAGAAAGCAAGCAAACUGAAAAGGAUCCAGGCGUGCAGGAAUUGGAAGCAUUAAUAGACACAAUUCAGAAGCAACUGAAAGAUCACUCAUGCAAAGACAACAUUCGUGAGGCAUUUCAAAUUUAUGACAAGGAAGCUUCAGGAUAUGUGGACAGAGACAUGUUCUUUAAAAUCUGUGAAUCGCUUAACGUCCCAGUGGAUGACUCCUUGGUUAAGGAGUUAAUCAGGAUGUGCUCUCAUGGAGAAGGCAAAAUUAACUACUAUAACUUUGUUCGUGCUUUCUCAAACUGACCUGCUGAUGAGAAAAUGCAAGACAAUUUUUGAUACUGGAACUAUGCUUUGAAAUACACCUUACACUCUUCAUAGAGGCAUUUACAGGGUUCCUGAAGUUUUAUUUCUGUUUUGGUUCUUCUUUCACUCCUACUGAAGUCGAAACUAAAUUGGAUCUAAUAGGAUCUAAGAUUGGUGCCUUAUUUAGGGUGAUAGGGGUAUAGCAAUGUCUAAUUUUGUGUGUCAAAUUGACUUGGCCACAGGGGGCCCAAAUAUUUCCUUUCUUUCUUUUUAAAAAAAUAAAUUUUUUUAGAGAUGGGAUCUCACUCUGUCAUACAGGCUGGAGUGUGGUGGCACUAUCCUAGUUCUAUGAAGCCUCAGACUCCUGGGCUCAAGUGAUCCUCCCACUUCAACCUCCCCAGUAGCUGGGACAACAGGCUCAAGCCACCAUGCCCAGCUAAUUUUUAAAAUUAUUUUGUAGAGACAAGGUCUUGCUAGGUUGCCUGAACUUGUCUCAAACUCAUGAGCUCCAGAAAUUCUCCCACCUCAGCCUCCAAAAGUGCUGGGAUUAUAGGCAUGAGCCACUGUGCCCAGCCUCAGAUAUUUCAUUAUUCUGGGGGUUUCUCUGAAGGUAUUUUUCGAUGAGAUAAACAUUUGAAUCAGAAGACUAAGUAAAACAGAUAGUCCUCCCUAAUGUGGGUGGGCCUCCUCCAAUCAUUUGAAGACAUGAGUAGAAUAAAAAGGCUGACCUUUCCCCAGGUAAGAGAAUUCCUCCUGCCUGACUGGCUUCAAAUUGGAACAUCAGCCUUUUCUUGCCUUCAGACACAAAUGGAAACAUCAGCUGUUGGUCUGGAGCCUGCUGACCUUCAGACUGGACCUAAACCAUCAGCUCUCCUAAGUCAUAGGCCUUUGGAUUCAGACUGGAAUUAUACCUUUAGCUCUCCUGGGUCUCCAGCUUGCCAAUUUACCCUGCAGAUCUUGGGACUUGUAAGCCUUCAUAAUUGUGUGAGCAAUUUCUUAUAACUCUCUCUUUCUCUCUCUCUACAUAUAUAUAUAUAUAUAUAUUUUAUAUGUACACAUUCAUACACACACACGCUUAUAUGUAUACAUAUAGUAUGUAUAUGUGUAUAUAUAUUAUGUAUAUACAUAUAUGUGCACACAUCUCUACUAAAAAUAGAAAAAUUAGCCAGGUGUGGUGGCGUGUGCCUGUAGUCCCAGCCACUCGGGAGGCUUAAAUGGGAGAAUCACUUGAACCCUGGAGGCAGAGGUUGCAGUGAGCCAAGACCACGCCACUGCACUCCAUCCAGCCUGGGUGACAGAGCAAGACUCCAUCUCAAAAAAAAAAAGGUUAGAAAAAUGCUGCUUUUAGAGAGCCUGGCCUUGAGAGAGGAAGGAAAGACUAGUUGCAGUUACUAUUCUCUGGUGAGCUCUGACUGGCUUUUUACAAACAGGGCUUCUCUUUGGUUGAAGUCAGCCACUAAGUUCAUCUUUAAACAUGCUAUCUCAAAUUCCCCGAAGCCACCCAAAAUGUGGUAUGAAUGAGGAUAGAGUUACACAGAAUUCAGACUGCUUUGCCCUCUCAGAACUUCUAGGGAACUUCCCUUGGUGUUUCCUUCCCUAACGAGCUCAGCCACUUGUAACCAGCUUAUUGAAAGGGCUGUGAAUGUAUUAUGUUGAUUCCUUUUCUGUUCCAGGUUAUUAUCUUGGGAAUAACCCAUGUUUUGUUUUGUUUUACCCUCAGUCGCUCAUAACUAUUUAAAACAGUAUCUCUUUCAAGUACAGAUGCUCCUCUACUUAUGGGGCUAUGUCUCAAUAAACUCACGUAAGUAAAAAAUAUCACAAGUUGAAAACACAUUUAAUAACCCUGAUAAGCCCAUUGUAAAGUAGGCAAAUAAGUUGGACCAUUGAAAGUUGGGGACUAUCUGUAUUUUAGAAGUUUUUUCAGCUUAAAAAUUACCAAGCUCUAUCCUACUUGGCCCAGCUCAGUCCUUCCCCCAGGCUUAGAAGCCUGUGGUAAAGAGUGUGUGUAUACUGGGGUGAUGAUAGUGGUUUCUUCUUACUCCCUUCUUUCUGUCUUCUGCUCCCUUUGUUCCUAUUCAGCCAUGCUGCUGUUUCUAGCCCAUGUAGGCUCUGGGAAAGGUUAAGCGGGUAGAAACCAGAGAAAAAGGGCAAAGUCUUAUUUCUGUGGCUAGUAAUGUCGUAAUGUGGGGCCAGGUCUGAGUGACAUGUGCCGAAAGGCUGACUCUUUCUCCCAGAGCACCUUUUCUCUCUUUUUGGAUUCAGGGGGUACAUGUGCAGGUUUGUUACAUGAGUAUAUUGCACCCAGGUAGUGAGCAUAGUGCCCAGUAAGUAGUUUUUCCACACAUACCCCCUCCUUCCCUUCCCACUCUGGUAGUCCCCAGUGUCUAUUGUUCCCAUCAUUAUGUCUAUGUGUAUUCAAUGUUUAGCUCCCACUUAGAAGUAAGAACAUGCAAUAUUUGGUUUCCUAUUCCUGCAUCAAUUCACUUUAGGAUAAUGGCCUCCAGCUGCAUCCAUGUUGCUGCAGAAUACAUGAUUUCAUUUUUUAUGGCUGCGUAGUAUUCCAUGGUGUAGAUAUACUUCAUUUAAAAAAUCUAAUCCACCAUUGAUUGGCACCUAGGUUGAUUCCAUGUCCUUUGCUCAGAGCCCCGUUUUGGUGAGUUCUUAGAACUCUUUCCAACCGGAAACUGCCCAGUGCACCACUCUCAGAUGGACGGGACCCAGUCUGUACCUGAUCACCCCGGCUCUAAUGGUAUGGUCUCCAAGGCUCCUUCUGAUCUUCCCAGGAGGCCCUUUCAGGCUGACACACCUUCCAGGGUGUGCACUCUCGCCAUGUUCUCACCCAGAUGGCUCUCUUGGCUGUGUAAUUAGGCAGCUCAAUCCCUUUCCUUUAGACUGUUUCAGGGGAGAACCAGGUACCCCAAAUCUUAUGCUCUCCAAACUCCAGGGGACAGACACAUGUCAAACCCUGAGUCUUUUAAAGUAUACCCUCACUUAGCUUGCAGACCCAAGGCACUCCAGCCCCUUUCAAGAAGCUUGCACUUUCUGAUAUUUUCUCCAUCACUCUUGCCUCCUGUGGUAGAGGAGCUUUGGGCUACUCCUUAACAAAUCAUUCAUGGAUCGGCAGCAAAUCUGCAACAUAUGGAUAUAUUUGCCAAUUUUUGUCCUCAGCUUUGGGUCUCAGCCAAAAUGGAGAUUUAGGAAAGUCUCAUUUAGCAUCCUCUAGCCUGCUUUUGGCUGUUUUGUUUUGUUUUUGUGUUUGUUUUUUAGAGACAGGGUCUUACUCUGUUGCCAGACUGGAAUGCGGUGGUGUGACCAUAGCUCACUGCAGCCUCAAACUCCUGGGCUCAUGCAAUCCUCCUGCCUCAGCCUUCUGAGUAGCUAGGCCUGUAGUCUCAGAGGGAACUGUCUUCAAUAAAGUUGGCACUGUCCACAUACACUCCUUAAGUUUGCUGUCCACUUCUUGCCUUGCAUCUCCUUUUAAGUUUACUUAAGACUGAGAAGCUGAGAUCUGACAGCACCAACACAAGGUAUAAAAGAGAUUUCAUGAAAGACCAAAGCCAGCAGGCCAUUUCUGUGGUGUCCAAACACUCGCUGCUCACCUGUUUAUACAAAGCAGCAAGUAUAGGAGCCACAAACGUCAGAGCAAAUCACUUUUUCUACUAAAAUCCUGAAUGGCAGUGCAGCCAUUAGAUGUCACUAAUUACCUUAUGCUACAGUCAUAGCUGGCAUGCAUCUGGAGUGUCAGGUUCAGGUGGUGGAAGGGAGCUGAGCAUUACCCUGUAGCAAGCAAUAUUGUAGGAAGCAGAAAUGAUCAUCACUUCAAACUGGCCACCAGGGAGUUGAAAGAUUCUAAUACACACACACACCCACACACACACACACACAAAGAGAGAAUGAGAAUUAUUAAGAUUAGCACUGGUAGCUGAAGCUAUCAGGUCUAACUGAAGCAUUUGACUAAGACUGCUUAUAGUGCUUACGGCUUUGGGACUAAUAAAAAUCUGCCUUGCGGGUAAAGAUGGGCUGUGAGUUAGCCACUACUCAGAAACCUGGGCCUGUACCUUGUCUGCACCAUCAGGGGGCCUUGAAAAUACCAUCCAAUUAAGGUGUAUCAAAUCCAUAUCUAUAGGCUUUGAGGGUAUUUGGGACACAUAGGUAGAGAAGACGUCUCUAAAUGUUGUCCAGAGAAUCCACUUGGUUAAGUGACUCCUGAGUAUCCUGCUGGCACAUAAGUUCAUUUUAAAAAGCCAAUAUGAGUGCUUUAUAUGUACCAUGAACUUAGCAUUCAGUAUCUCUAAAUCUCUCACCAUGACUCCCCACAAAACAUGAAACCCUUUUGACACAGAUGCACAAAAAGACUCGGAAGGGUUAACUGCUUGAGUUCACCUAGCUUCUCAUGGCAGAGCAGGACCCAACUCUACAAUGAAGCUUGCCAUGCAUCAGAACCACUCACCUUCACCUCAAGCAAACAUUUCCUCUUUCUCACACCCCAUGGGUGUCCUUGACUAACUGCCACCUGUAACUGCACUCAUCUUUUGAGAUCUUUUUCCAAAGAAAGAUGGUUCUGGUAAACACAGCAAGCAGCUACAGCCAACAGCAGCCAUGUAAGUGACACCAGCAAUCCCCACUAUUACUAAUACUUGGAUGUCUUCUAGUCAGCACCAACAUAUUUGUUGGCCUUUACACAAACGAAACCCCAUUUCCUCCAAGCUAAAUAACAUCAUAGUAUAGUAGGCAUCAAGGAUGAUGUGCUUGUUUCUGGAGCUUCCUACCCACAAACCCCAUGUUAAGAAAACCUCUUUUCCACUUUACUAUUAAAGAGUCAAAUAAAAAUGAUGCUUAUUGCUAUCCAGCACUUGA